rnacentral:rRNA from 1 species
GACGAACGCUGGCGGCGUGCUUAACACAUGCAAGUCGAACGGUGAAGCGCCUUCCUUUUUGGUGGGUGUGGAUGAGUGGAGAACGGGUGAGUAACACGUGAGUAACCUGCCCCCUUCUUCUGGAUAACCGCAUGAAAGUGUGGCUAAUACGGGAUAUUCUGGGUCUGUCGCAUGAUGGGUCUGGGAAAGAUAUUGUUUCGGUGGGGGAUGGGCUCGCGGCCUAUCAGCUUGUUGGUGGGGUGAUGGCCUACCAAGGCGGUGACGGGUAGCCGGCCUGAGAGGGUGGACGGUCACACUGGGACUGAGACACGGCCCAGACUCCUACGGGAGGCAGCAGUGGGGAAUAUUGCACAAUGGGCGCAAGCCUGAUGCAGCGACGCCGCGUGAGGGAUGGAGGCCUUCGGGUUGUGAACCUCUUUCGCCAGUGAAGCAGGCCUGCCUCGUUUGUGGGUGGGUUGACGGUAGCUGGAUAAGAAGCGCCGGCUAACUACGUG